UUCAUCUUCCUCAUCUAUUUUCUUUUUCAUCAAAAAGACAUUACUUCAUCCAUUUUCUUCAUCUAUCUUAAAAGGUCAGUUAUUACGAAUUGUUUAUAUUUUGAUGUAAUAGCUUACUCUUUUUAAAAUGUUAAAAACAACAUGAUAAUCAGUACUAUUAAUCAUCAUGGUCUUAUUUUUUUAAUAGUUUUGAAGGAAAAACAUACCAAAAAUAUUUAGGAAAAUGUGAAGUAUUCCAUAUUUAAUGAAGCAUUCAGUCAUUUGUUUCUGAAAAUAGGUUGUGAUGUUGUAGUUGAGAAAUGAUUAUAAGCAUUAAUGCUACCAAACAUAUUUGAAGCUUUUCGGCAGUUCCGACAGUUGAACUGUCGAACUCGACAUUUCGAAACUGUCGGGAUCGACAUUUUAGCUGUCGUACCCGACAUUUAUAAACUGCCGGGAUAGAUAACUAAACUAUCGAAUUAGAAAGCUAAAAAUUCUAGACACUCUUCAUUUGACCUUGUACUAUUGCAUAGAUUUAAAUAUUUGAACGUGUCACUUCCAUGCUAUUAUAUAAUCGACAUAUUGAUUGCGUAUAAUUCUUAUCGUUGCAAUCCCAACAUCUCAGGUAUGAACAAUAAUUUGAGAUUCAUCGUGUCACAUGGGGGAAAGUUCGUUCACGUAAAUGACGAAUGGAAGUAGACUUGGGACAAAACCACUUCCAUUUUAGUGCCGAGCAGUAUUACACUAGCGGGGCUAUUGUUAUGGUUGAACGAGAAACUUGAUGUUGUCGAUCCGCGCACAAAAAUUGGAAUUGAAGUUCAAAGUUUCGAAUAUGAAUAUACCGUCGGUCGAAAUACUCGAAGAUGAAGAUGUAAAUUGGUACAUAUCAGUUCAUAAGGAAACUGCCCUCUACGUUACGACUUUGGAAACCGGUCUGCCAAGUGUUGAAAUGGAGAGGGAUACAAAUUACAGCCAACAAUUGGUCGCUGCAACGGAAGAUUGCCAAACCGUAUAGGAUGAGGAGCUCAAUCAUCAGCACAGUGUCCCAAACAAUAAUGCGGCGAAUACUCCAAUUUUCGAUAUUGGGAUUGCACCAUUAGAUGAAAUGUUCGACGAUCCCUUACAUGGUACAAAUACUGGUAAUAUUGCUGACGUUGACGAAGAACUAUUAUCACAUUCCAAAAGUUCGGAUACAUGCGACUGGAUUUCCACUGUGAAUACGUCGGAUCUUAUCGAAAGGAAAAUAUUUUUUACCAAGAAAGAGUUGUACUCGAGAAUUCGUCUACUUCCUUUGCAAGAAAAGUUUCAAUUUUAGGUUAGCAUGUCAAGCCUAAAAAUGUUAACCAUUGUAUGCGCGGACGAUGAUUGCAAGUGGAUGUUACGUGCUUCGAGUGUCAAGCAAUCCAGAAUCUUCAUGAUCCGCAAAUUCAACAAUGUGCACACAUGUUCCAUAGAUUAUCGUCAUAAUGCACAUCGACAUGCCACUAGUUCCAUAAUUGUCGAGCAGAUUAUGGGAAAAUUGGAUAAUACGUACGGAUCGUAUGACCCUACCGCUAUUGCACGUGACAUGGAACGUGAGUUUGAUGUGAAAAUUAGUUACCAUCAAGCACGUAGGAAAAAUGUCGCUGCUUUACAUAUGCUACAUGGUACACCGGGUGAUAGCUUUCAAAAACUUUCUUCCUACUGUCAUGUCCGAGGAGAGAGUAAACCAGGGACAGUAACACACAUCGAAGUAGAUUCUCGUAACAGGUUUCACUACCUUUUCUUAGCUUUCGGUGCAAGUAUUCGGGGUUACGUGCAAUACUUGAUGCCUGCUAUUUGUGUUGACGACAGUCACUUGAAAGGUCCAUACAAAGGUACCUUUCUACUGGCAACCGUCCAAGACACCAACAAACAGAUUUAUCCAUUAGCAUGGGAGAUCGUUGUUGGUGCCGAAACGAAUAGAUCGUGGAUGUGGUUUUUAUCAAAUUUGAAAGAUUUAUAGGUGACUCGGAGGAAUUGGUGUUUGUUUCCGACAUGAAAAAUAGUAUUGAAAAUGCCAUUGCCCACCUAUUUCCUCGGGCUCACCACGGGUGCUAUGUCUGGCAUAUGGAAAAGAAUUUAAUCCAGCAGUACAACAACGUAAGUUCAAUAUUUCUAUUCAAAAGAGUCGUAAGAACUUACCGGACCGAAGAGUUUGAAAGACUUAUGGAACAGCUUCGUAGGGUAAGUCAAGAGCGUACGGGUACUUGGAGCAACCAGGUUUCCCAUUUUGGUCACGGGCAAUAUUUGUUGGCCAAUAGUACAACAUUCUAACCAACAACAACAUAGAAUCUUUAAACUCAAUGUUGAGACAUGCCCGUUUGUUACCAAUUACGUGCUUAGUGGGACACAUUCGACAUACUAUGCAGAAGUGGUUUUAUGAACGUCAAGCAAGUGCAACAGCAUGCAGUACCGUACUGUCACCAACAAUGGGGAAUAAGUUACAGAUGACGUUCGAAGCAGGUACAAGGCUGCGAGCGAAUGGCUUGACAGAUAACUUAACACAAGUUGAAAUAUCCAAUGACAUGAACAUCGUAGACUUCUCCGAAAAUACGUGCACUUGUCGUGAGUUCCAAUUGAAUCGUAUGCCAUGCAUUCACGCAACCCGUGCUGCUUGCUUGAGAGGUAAGUCAUUGUACGAUCUCUGCUCACCGUAUUACACAUCUGAGUACUGGAAGGGUGCCUAUGGAGAAGCUAUAUAUCCUCCUUUGCUUGAAGUGGACUGGAUUGUACCAACUGAAAUUACAGGUACUCCUAUUAUGCCCCCCAGUGUACUUCGUCCUCCAGGUAGACUACCCACAUAACGUAAGCGAUCCAGACACGAGUGUACCACACAGCUCAGGAAAUGCACUCGCUGCGGUGGACUUGAUCAUAACCGGACCACAUGUUUGAACCACACUCUACCACGUCCGAUGUAAGCAGCAUUUUAUACGUGAGUGGUUGAAGUUGUAAGUGAAAUGUUCCCCCGAUGUCGUUUGUCUAUGACAAUGUAAAUAUUGUAUUACUAUUUUCAUUCUCUUACGCAUGAACACUACUCUUUCUCAUGUUCACAUUUACAGUACGCAAAUAGACACAACGUACUGCAUAACAGUCUCGAACCAAAAUACAAUUUUGUUGUGCAUAACAUUGUUGCCAUUAUUGACACAUGUAAAUUGAAUGUAUGGAAUAUGAAAUGUUCAACCAUUAUACAAGUUUCCUUUCGUAUGCAUAUUACGAACACAUCAUUUUUAGCGCAUAACACUGUCCGCAUUGUUCACAAAGUACGUUGAAUGUACACAUGAGGUUGUGUUCGUUCACCCAAAAUAUAUGUUAUAUGAAUAUGCAUACUACGUACAUAGAAAAUUUGUCAGUAAAUCCUAAUAGUUCAUCUGUCGUUCUUGACAGAUGGUGCCUACCAUUCUUGACAGUUUUUCGACGAUCCGCUUAACAGAAUACAAAAUACACAUAACUUGCCAACGAGAAUUUCCUACAUGUUACAGAAUUGGUACAUACGUAACAAAAUUCAUCCCUUACAAAAAAAUACUAUACAUAUACACGUAGCAACCCACACACGCAACAAAGUCGGACUCUUCACUCGGAGCUAACACUUGACCCUUCUUCCCUACCGUGAUCAUUUGAGCUGAUGACAAUUACCUUGGGCGAUGGAACGCGACCCUGCCCCUCAUCAUCAUGACGUUCAACUUCGUCUGCAUCCAUAAAUGGGACGAUCCAUUCAAGCACAUUUCUCAGAGACUCACCUGCAUCACUUGCAACUUCGUCCAGGUUCGAAAAGGGAACGACAGUCAUGGCUCUCCUACCACCAUUCGAACUCACAUCCUCAUCAUCCAAAGAAAUUAUGAUGGGAUAUAGCAGAGUUGAACCGGGUGUUGGCAAAGGCUCCUCAACUGGCAACGGUGAAUUGUUUCCCGUGGACGAUGCCAUUGUUUUCAUAUGAAGAAAUAGACUUGAAAUAUUGUGAUACUUUCCUGCUACAAGAUGCCUCACAAAGAGUCUCAUACAUCCCACUUGAAGAGUGUAAGCCAUACUUUAUACUGGAGGUAUUUGAGGACAUUUAAUACAAUUUAGCAACCAACCACCAUUUCAUUUCUACUUAACACUUGAUUGACCAUUGGUGUGAUGGUUUAGGGUGUAAGUGUACUUUAAUGCAGUUCAUAAAUGGUGAGAAUUAUGAAUAAAUUGUACCCAUGUGCAAGACCUGC
rnacentral:lncRNA from 1 species